AAAAAAAAAAAAAAAAAGAUGAAUAUAUUAAGAGAAUUCGCUUUUUGAGUGACAAAAACAAUGUAGUUUUCUAAUAAAUUAGUGUUACUAAUCGGUGAUUAAAUAUGAUUCUCAUAAUUCAUAAUGUGUAUAGAUAAUAUAUUUAUUAUUAUUUUUAAAAAAAAGUUGUUGGUGCUGAUAAGGAGAUGAGAGGGCCCCUGCCCCGAAAUGCUAAGCCUUCUUGACUGUCUGGUUUGGACGUAUGUACGCCAUGCUCAGAGACAUGGGAAAAAGUAGUUGAGAUUGCGACUGGUGAGUAUCGAAUAUCAUCUUCUUCUGAAACCAAAAAGCUUAACAGAAUGAGUAUGAGGACAUAAA
rnacentral:misc_RNA from 1 species